rnacentral:rRNA from 1 species
AACGAACGCUGUCUGCAGGCUUAACACAUGCAAGUCGAGCGCCCCGCACGGGGAACGGCGGUCGGGUGGGUAACGCGUGGGAACGUACCCUUAUCUUCGUGAUAGCUCCGGGUCACUGUAAUUAAUAACCAAUGUGCCCUUUGGCUGAAAGAUUGUUCCGUUAAGGAUCGGCCCGCGUUGGAUUUGCUAGUUGGUGUGGGACAGGCCUACCAAUGCGACGGUACAUAGCUGUUCUGAGAGGAGGAACAACCACAAUGGGACUGAGAAACGGAUCAAACUCCUACGGGAGGCAGCAGUGGGGAAUAUGGGACAACGGGCGCAAGUGUGAGACAACCAUGCCGCGUGAGUGAUGAAGGCCUUAGGGUGGGAAAGAGCGUUCAACGGAGAAGAUAAUGAAGGUAUCCGGAGAAGAAGCCCCGGCUAACUUCGUG